AUAAGUUCUUGGUGAUAACUAGAAACCCAAAUUCCAUUCCUAGUCGAUAAAAGGGGCCUGGAUUGCUGUGAGCAAGACAGCAGAGCAUGGAAAGGGCGAACAAGAGACGAGCGAGCUUUAGAGACUGACAUUGUGAUGAAUUUUCUCUCCCAGCUCUGAGAAGUUUAUCCGGUGGUCGCUCUCCUCCAGGGGUGCAGCUCCCUGCCCUCCAGUGGUGUCGUGAAAGAAUGUCAUUCACCCUCCCGUCAACCCUGAGAACAAGAGGCCAUUUCUCAGCGGGUGAAUCAAGCUACCAUGAGUGCCAAGGUGUCAGAGGGACUCAACUUGUCCCUUGCCAGUCACAUGAUCCUUGGCUGAGGCCUCCCCUUUGGAAAGCAGGACAAUGUCGCAUCUGCAUCUCACUCACGGACCCCAGGUGCCAGCUGAGGGUCAGGCGGCAAGGUCACGGCGUUGACAAUAAUCACCAUCCAGUGACAGACAGCCGUGUCUGGCUCGGUGCUAAGCCCUCACACGUGUGAACUCUCUUCAUCUUUGCACCAGCUUGGUGACGAAGGUAUAUUUUAUGCCCACCUCCAAGCCUGUUUCAUAAAUAAAGAUUCAGAGGCUUCGAGAAGGGGAGAGGUGCCCCGAUCGCACCCUAGAAGGAGGCAGGCGGGAGGACCUUCUCCGCGGAACUCAGGUUGGACUCAGACUCACAGAGAUGCCUCAGCUGCCACCUGCCCCCCGCUUGAGCAGAACUUUCGUUCUAGAGAACUUGCUGGCUUCGUAGUAAUCCCUUCCUUUCUGGCUCCUGGGAUCUUGUUCACUGUCUGGUCCUCUUCAAGCCCUGGAACACACCAGCCUGUUGCCACCUUCCUCCUGGCCCUGUUCCCUGCAGUGGGUACCACCUUCGUCUGCACGCCAGACCCCAGACAUUUGCCAGGCUGGGAGUUGAGUCAGACCUCGUCCACCAACUUGCUGCUGGAGUGGACGGGCCUAGACAGCCAGAGGAUUCUUGUCCUGACUCCCAUCCGGCAGCCAGCACUUGCCAGGCCCAGCCAGGGCUGGAUGAGAGGGAGGGCGGAGAGGAGGGGAGCCCCGAUGGGAAGGCUCCGAUUUUGCCGGCGAAGGCUUUUGUGCUCCGGAAUGCCAGACCAGUGCAGUCGGCUCUGCCAAUGAGGAGACUGGCCUCCAACAAUAAUGUUUUUCCCUGGGUUUUCCAGAAGGCAUCAGCUGCUUUCUAAUUCAAACCAUCAGGAGGAAGCUUACAUGUGCUGAGUCGCAAAACGCCUGUAGAAAUAAAACUGCUCCCCAUGCCAGACAAGAGCUGGGCUGGACAGGGCUCUGGCCAAGGGGCCCCUGAGCCAGAGGCUGUGAGCUCCUCCCAGGGCCCCCUCCAGGCCUGCCCAGGCCCUCAGCUGGCGCCCUUCCCGGGGCACACUUGCCAUCAGUUACUCCACCCACACCCACGAGGGCCUACGGUGUGCCAGAAACUGUGCAAGGUUUUUGGAGUGAGCACUGUAGCUGUUAUUAUAGUUCACAUUUAUUGAGCAUGUGUUGUAUGCCAGCAACUAUGCUAAACACCUUACAUUCACUGUCUCUCAUCCACGUGCUGUGGUUCCAUUCCACAGAAGAGAAUGAUGAGGCUCAGCGAGGCAGAAAGACCCAACAGAAGUGAAGAGUUGGGCUUCCAGCCCUGGGUCUGUCUUCAGGGCUCCGUCACCACGCCUUGCUGCCUGGCAAUGAAAAGGUGUGAAGCUCCCCACUCCACACCUGCUCGGGUGGCUAGAAUCAAAGGCAAGUGAUAACAAGGGUUGGAGAGGAUGCGGAGAAAUGAGAACACUCAUCCGCUGCGAUGGGAGUGUCAAAUGGUGCAGCUACUUUGGAAAACAGUCAGUUCCUCAAACAAUUAAUCAUAGAAUUACCACACGACCCAGUGAUGCCUCUCCUAGGUGUAUACCCAAGGGAAAUGAAAACAUACGUCCACACAAAAACUUGUACUGGAAUGUUCAUAGCAGCGUUAUUCAUAAUAACCAAAAGGUGGAGACAACCCAAAGGGGCAAACAACAGUGGUCUAUCUGUAUGAUGGAAUAUUAUUCAGCCAUUAAAAGAAGAAUGAAGUCUGAUACCUACCACAACAUAGAUGAACCUUGAAAAUGUUAUUCUAAGUGAAAGAAGCCAGUCACAAAAGUCCGCAUAUUCUUUGAUCUCAUUCAUAGAAAUGUCUGGAAUGGGGAAAUCCAUAGAAACGGAAAGGAGAUUAGUGCUCAGGGUUGAGGGUGGCCAAGAGCCAACGAGUAAGGGGUUUCUAUUUUUUUUCUUUUCUUCCCCAAAGCCCCAGUACGUAGUUGUGUAUUCUUGUUGUAAGUCCUUCUAGUUCUUGUAUGUGAGCUGCCACCACAGCAUGGCUGCUGACAGACAAGUGGUGUGGUUCCGCACCCAGGAACCAAACUUUGGCCACUGAAGUGGAGAGCGCUGAACUGUAACCACUGGGCAAUCAGGCCUGGCUCUGGGGUUUCUUUUUGAGGUGAUGAAAAUGUUCUAAAAUCAACUGUGUGAUGGUUGUACAUACCUGUGAAUACACUAAAAAUCGUUUAAAUGGCUGAAU
ensembl:lncRNA